rnacentral:rRNA from 1 species
AGGGAAUAUUGCAAAAUGGGCGAAAGCCCGAUGCAGCAACGCCGCGUGGGCGAUGAAGGCCUUCGGGUCGUAAAGCCCUUUUUGAGGGGAUGAGGAAGGACAGUACCCUCAGAAUAAGCCUCGGCUAACUACGUGCCAGCAGCCGCGGUAAAACGUAGGAGGCGAGCGUUAUCCGGAUUUACUGGGCGUAAAGCGCGUGCAGGCGGAUUGGAGAGUUGGAUGUGAAAGCUCCCGGCUUAACUGGGAGAGGUCGUUCAAUACUUCCAGUCUUGAGUGCAGUAGAGGGAAGUGGAAUUCCGGGUGUAGUGGUGAAAGGCGUAGAUAUCCGGAGGAACACCAGUGGCGAAAGCGGCUUCCUGGACUGUAACUGACGCUCAGACGCGAAAGCCAGGGUAGCAAACG